rnacentral:rRNA from 1 species
UACGGAGGGUGCAAGCAUUAAUCGGAAUUAUUGGGCGUAAAGGGCGCGUAGGCGGAUAUAUAAGUCAGGUGUGAAAUUCCGGGGCUCAACUUCGGAGCGGCACUUGAGACUGUAAAUCUAGAGGGUAGGCGGAGAAAAUGGAAUUCCACAAGUAGCGGUGAAAUGCGUAGAUAUGUGGAAGAACACCGGUGGCGAAGGCGGUUUUCUAGCUUAUACCUGACGCUGAGGCGCGAAAGCAAGGGGAUCAAACAGG